AGUGAACGCUGGCGGUAGGCCUAACACAUGCAAGUCGAACGGCAGCACAGUAAGAGCUUGCUCUUACGGGUGGCGAGUGGCGGACGGGUGAGGAAUACAUCGGAAUCUACUUUUUCUUGGGGGAUAACGUAGGGAAACUUACGCUAAUACCGCAUACGACCUACGGGUGAAAGCAGGGGAUCUUCGGACCUUGCGCGAUUGAAUGAGCCGAUGUCGGAUUAGCUAGUUGGCGGGGUAAAGGCCCACCAAGGCGACGAUCCGUAGCUGGUCUGAGAGGAUGAUCAGCCACACUGGAACUGAGACACGGUCCAGACUCCUACGGGAGGCAGCAGUGGGGAAUAUUGGACAAUGGGCGAAAGCCUGAUCCAGCCAUACCGCGUGGGUGAAGAAGGCCUUCGGGUUGUAAAGCCCUUUUGUUGGGAAAGAAAAGCAGCAGGUUAAUACCCCGCUGUUCUGACGGUACCCGAAGAAUAAGCACCGGCUAACUUCGUG
rnacentral:rRNA from 1 species